UUUUUAUCACUGGUGACAGCAACCGCCUCCUCCAUCAUGUGACUCUGACAUCACUUCCUGCUGCCGCUGCUGUUGUUAGUCCCCCUCACCAUCCUCAUCUCCACAGUUGAGGAGCCACAAUGAUUGUGUUUCUUCUUCUGGGUCACCUGACAGGUUUCUGUCUGAGCGUUCACGUCACCCAGACUCCAGCUGCUGCCCUUCACAGGGAGGAUGGAAACGUCACCUUCACCUGCUCACACACUGAGGCAGGAUCCAGAGUGAUGCUGUGGUACCAGCGUUCACCCGGAGACAACGCCCUCAAACUCAUCGGAUACGGUUACGGAGAGUUCACCAGCAACAACAUAGAGGAGCCCUUCAAGGAGCAUUUCUCCCUGGAGGGAGACUUGAAUGGAAAAGUGAAAAUAGGUUACCUCUCCAUACAAAACCUGAAGCCGCUGGAGCACACGGCGGAGUAUAUCUGUGCAGUCAGAGAGGCACACUGUCUGAAAGAGCCACAGCUCUGAACAAAAACCUCCUGCUAUGGCCUCUUCCUGUUUCUCCUGUGGUUAAAAAGAGGCCCCGCCUCCUCGCUGAAGCCUCCACAAUGAGCAGCUCGUCUUAUCACAGAUGAUCAUCAGAGAAAAGGCUGUCGACUCCUCUGUGAGGAGUUCCAGAUCCAGAGAGGAG